AGUUUGAUCAGUGGCUACGAGGACAACGCUGGCGGCGUGCUUCAUACAUGCAAGUCGAACGAGAAGCUAGAGCUUGCUCUAGUGGAAAGUGGCGGACGGGUGAGUAAUAUGUAGGAAAUCUGCCCUAGAGAGGGGGACAACAGAAGGAAACUUCUGCUAAUACCCCAUAUGAGCUUGGUUGAAAUACCAAUCUUGAAAACUCCGGUGGUCUGGGAUGGACCCGCGUCCGAUUAGUUAGUUGGCGGGGUAACGGCCCACCAAGACCGCGAUCGGUAGCCGACCUGAGAGGGUGACCGGCCACAUUGGGACUGAGACACGGCCCAGACUCCUACGGGAGGCAGCAGUGGGGAAUAUUGCACAAUGGAGGAAACUCUGAUGCAGCGACGCCGCGUGAGCGAAGAAGUAUUUCGGUAUGUAAAGCUCUGUCAGCAGGGAAGAUAAUGACGGUACCUGACCAAGAAGCCCCGGCUAACUACGUG
rnacentral:rRNA from 1 species